CCUACGGGAGGCAGCAGUAAGGAAUAUUGGUCAAUGGACGAAAGUCUGAACCAGCCAUGCCGCGUGAAGGAUGAAGGUCCUCUGGAUUGUAAACUUCUUUUAUCUGGGACGAAAAAAGGGCUUUCUAGCUCACUUGACGGUACCAGAGGAAUAAGCACCGGCUAACUCCGUGCCAGCAGCCGCGGUAAUACGGAGGGUGCAAGCGUUAUCCGGAUUUACUGGGUUUAAAGGGAGCGUAGGUGGGCAGGUAAGUCAGUGGUGAAAUCUCUGGGCUUAACCCGGAAACUGCCAUUGAUACUAUCUGUCUUGAAUAUCCUGGAGGUAAGCGGAAUAUGUCAUGUAGCGGUGAAAUGCUUAGAUAUGACAUAGAACACCCAUUGCGAAGGCAGCUUACUACGGGAUUAUUGACACUGAGGCUCGAAAGCGUGGGGAUCAAACAGGAUUAGAUACCCUGGUAGUCCACGCCCUAAACGAUGGAUACUCGACAUCAGCGAUACACUGUUGGUGUCUGNGNGAGANAUAUAUACCACCAGAGACGACGACGAGUAGUACGUACAANAGAGUAGACGCGNGAGAGAGACGACGACGACGACGAGGGAGGAGG
rnacentral:rRNA from 1 species